GUUUCCUGACCAGGAAGAUUCCAGAUGAUGGGAUUGAGUAAACACGGCAUUAUUGUGUCUUGAAGAGCCUACAGAGCUGGAGUUCUGGUCUUGGCUCCUCCUUGGCACAGUGGCUAUUAUAUAUCUCUCUCCUCCCACGAGUCUCCGAUUUGUUGAAGGAGAGAUCCAUGUUCAUCACCGGAAGCUCUGUGUCUUCAGGACAGCUAUUCUGGGAAGAGACCGAGUCCACACGUCACCGAGGACGGCAGGGUGUGGUGGCAGCAGUAGCUUCCACUCAGACGGAUUUACGUUUGCACGUGAAUGUUGGUCUAGACAGGCUGGGAGAGCUUAGAAAAACGGCUUAACCUUUCUGAGCCUUCUUUUUCUCCUUGGAAAAAAUGAAGGCAGUGAUACGUACCACAUAGGGUUGAAAAAGGAUCAGAAGGAGUGGUGUGCGCUACUCGGAAGAUCGGAGCAACUACUGCGAUCUCCAGCUUUGUGCCUGCCCUUGGUGCUGUGCAGAAAUCCCGUUUCUCAGUGGCAUCUUCCAUUCACGAGAGCAGUCACAUAUAUCCACUUGCCCACCGGUUGUUUUCAGUGAAGUGACAUAUAUGCAAGUAAAACGGGCCUGUCUAGAGUCGAGCUCAUCGUCCUGAGCCUCCCCUUCCUGCGUCCCCCACGGCAGCGAGUGAACUCGCCAUCCGCUCAGCGGGCCGAUCUGCAGACUCGCAGUUCAUCCUCCUCUUCCUCUCCACGUUGCCCUCCGCACCCAUUAACCACCAAGUCCUCCUGAUCCAGCCCCUUCCUCCUCACCUGCUCUUCUACCCCAGCCCCUGCCAUUAAUGCUUCGCUUCUCAUGGUGAUCUGUCAGUGGUCACUGUGCCUCCACCACCUUGCCCGCCUCUAACCAUUCGUAUUUGUAGCUCACAAAUGUGAAG